rnacentral:rRNA from 1 species
AGCCAGACUCCUACGGGAGGCAGCAGUGGGGAAUAUUGCACAAUGGGGGAAACCCUGAUGCAGCGACGCCGCGUGAGCGAUGAAGUAUUUCGGUAUGUAAAGCUCUAUCAGCAGGGAAGAAGAUGACGGUACCUGACUAAGAAGCCCCGGCUAACUACGUGCCAGCAGCCGCGGUAAUACGUAGGGGGCAAGCGUUAUCCGGAUUUACUGGGUGUAAAGGGAGCGUAGACGGCGGCGCAAGCCAGAUGUGAAAGCCCGGGGCUCAACUCCGGGACUGCAUUUGGAACUGUGUGGCUGGAGUGUCGGAGAGGCAGGCGGAAUUCCUAGUGUAGCGGUGAAAUGCGUAGAUAUUAGGAGGAACACCAGUGGCGAAGGCGGCCUGCUGGACGAUGACUGACGUUGAGGCUCGAAAGCGUGGGGAGCAAACAGGAUUAGAUACCCCUGUA